UACGUAGGGUGCAAGCAUUAAUCGGAUUUAUUGGGCGUAAAGGGCGCGUAGGCGGACCAGCAAGUCAGCUGUGAAAGCCCCCAGCUCAACUGGGGAAUGGCAGUUGAAACUACUGGUCUUGAGGGUAGGCGGAGAGAACGGAAUUCCACGUGUAGCGGUGAAAUGCGUAGAUAUGUGGAAGAACACCGGUGGCGAAAGCGGUUCUCUAGCUUACUCCUGACGCUGAGGCGCGAAAGCAAGGGGAGCAAACAGG
rnacentral:rRNA from 1 species